AAUAGAUACCCAGGUAGUCCACCCGUAAACGUUGGGAACUAGUUGUGGGGUCCUUUCCACGGAUUCCGUGACGCAGCUAACGCAUUAAGUUCCCCGCCUGGGGAGUACGGCCGCAAGGCUAAAACUCAAAGGAAUUGACGGGGACCCGCACAAGCGGCGGAGCAUGCGGAUUAAUUCGAUGCAACGCGAAGAACCUUACCAAGGCUUGACAUACACCAGAACACCCUAGAAAUAGGGGACUCUUUGGACACUGGUGAACAGGUGGUGCAUGGUUGUCGUCAGCUCGUGUCGUGAGAUGUUGGGUUAAGUCCCGCAACGAGCGCAACCCUCGUUCUAUGUUGCCAGCACGUAAUGGUGGGAACUCAUGGGAUACUGCCGGGGUCAACUCGGAGGAAGGUGGGGAUGACGUCAAAUCAUCAUGCCCCUUAUGUCUUGGGCUUCACGCAUGCUACAAUGGCCGGUACAAAGGGCUGCAAUACCGUGAGGUGGAGCGAAUCCCAAAAAGCCGGUCCAGUUCGGAUUGAGGUCUGCAACUCGA
rnacentral:rRNA from 1 species